rnacentral:rRNA from 1 species
GACGAACGCUGGCGGCGUGCCUAAUACAUGCAAGUAGAACGCUGAAGGAGGAGCUUGCUCUUCUGGAUGAGUUGCGAACGGGUGAGUAACGCGUAGGUAACCUGCCUGGUAGCGGGGGAUAACUAUUGGAAACGAUAGCUAAUACCGCAUAAGAGUAGAUGUUGCAUGACAUUUACUUAAAAGGUGCAAUUGCAUCACUACCAGAUGGACCUGCGUUGUAUUAGCUAGUUGGUGGGGUAACGGCUUACCAAGGCGACGAUACAUAGCCGACCUGAGAGGGGGAGCUGCAUCACGGGGAAGGAGACAAGGCGGAGACGCAUUCGGGAGGCAGCAGGAGGGAAGAUUAAGCAAGGGACGGAAGUCUGACCGAGCAACGCCGCGUGAGUGAAGAAGGGUAUCGUAUCGUAAAGAUCUGUUGUAAGAGAAGAACGAGUGUGAGAGUGGAAAGUUCACACUGGGACGGUAUCUUACCAGAAAGGGACGGCUAACUACGUG